rnacentral:rRNA from 1 species
GACCUGAAAGAUGGUGAGCUAUGCCUGGAUAGGGUAAAGCCAAACAAAACUUUCCCGGAAGUACUUAUCAGUCCUGAUUGGCCAAUUGGUCAUCUGAGCUGGGGACAGGGGAUGGGAACUACCUAGUAGUUGA